rnacentral:rRNA from 1 species
UACGUAGGUGGCAAGCGUUGUCCGGAUUUAUUGGGCUUAAAGGGUGCGUAGGCGGUUUCAUAAGUCAGUGGUGAAAUACAAUAGCUUAACUAUUGAGGUGCCAUUGAUACUGCGGAACUUGAGUACAGACGAGGUAGGCGGAAUUGACGGUGUAGCGGUGAAAUGCUUAGAUAUCGUCAAGAACACCGAUAGCGAAGGCAGCUUACUAGACUGUAACUGACGCUGAGGCACGAAAGUGUGGGGAUCAAACAGG